CGAACGCUGGCGGCAUGCCUAACACAUGCAAGUCGAGCGCCUGUAGCAAUACAGGAGCGGCGCACGGGUGAGUAACACGUGGGAAUCAACCCUGAGGUUCGGAAUAACCGCGGGAAACUGCGGCUAAUACCGGAUAUCCCCUAUGGGGGAAAGAUUUAUCGCCUUGGGACGAGCCCGCGUCCGAUUAGCUAGUUGGUGAGGUAACGGCUCACCAAGGCUACGAUCGGUAGCUGGUCUGAGAGGAUGACCAGCCACACUGGAACUGAGAUACGGUCCAGACUCCUACGGGAGGCAGCAGUGGGGAAUAUUGGGCAAUGGAGGCAACUCUGACCCAGCCAUGCCGCGUGGGUGACGAAGGUCUUCGGAUUGUAAAGCCCUUUCGGCGGGGACGAUGAUGACGGUACCCGCAGAAGAAGCCCCGGCUAACUUCGU
rnacentral:rRNA from 1 species